GACGAACGCUGGCGGCGUGCUUAACACAUGCAAGUCGAACGGAAAGGCCCUGCUUUUGUGGGGUGCUCGAGUGGCGAACGGGUGAGUAACACGUGAGUAACCUGCCCUUGACUUUGGGAUAACUUCAGGAAACUGGGGCUAAUACCGGAUAGGAGCUCCUGCUGCAUGGUGGGGGUUGGAAAGUUUCGGCGGUUGGGGAUGGACUCGCGGCUUAUCAGCUUGUUGGUGGGGUAGUGGCUUACCAAGGCUUUGACGGGUAGCCGGCCUGGGAGGGUGACCGGCCACAUUGGGGCUGAGAUACGGCCCAGACUCCUACGGGAGGCAGGAGUGGGGAAUAUUGCACAAUGGACGGGAGCCUGAUGCAGCCACGCAGCGUGCGGGAUGACGGCCUUCGGGUUGUAAGCCGCUUUCGCCUGUGACGAAACGUGAGUGACGGUAAUGGGUAAAGAAGCACCGGCUAACUACGUG
rnacentral:rRNA from 1 species